GACGAACGCUGGCGGCGUGCUUAACACAUGCAAGUCGAACGGAAAGGCCCUGCUUUUGUGGGGUGCUCGAGUGGCGAACGGGUGAGUAACACGUGAGUAACCUGCCCUUGACUUUGGGAUAACUUCAGGAAACUGGGGCUAAUACCGGAUAGGAGCUCCUGCUGCAUGGUGGGGGUUGGAAAGUUUCGGCGGUUGGGGAUGGACUCGCGGCUUAUCAGCUUGUUGGUGGGGUAGUGGCUUACCAAGGCUUUGACGGGUAGCCGGCCUGAGAGGGUGACCGGCCACAUUGGGACUGAGAUACGGCCCAGACUCCUACGGGAGGCAGCAGUGGGGAAUAUUGCACAAUGGGCGGAAGCCUGAUGCAGCAACGCCGCGUGCAGGAUGACGGCCUUCGGGUUGUAAACCGCUUUCGCCUGUGACGAAGCGUGAGUGACGGUAAUGGGUAAAGAAGCACCGGCUAACUGCGUG
rnacentral:rRNA from 1 species